AGUUAAAUUAUCUAGGUUUGCAAAACCUUGCGUGGCUUACAAGCCUUUAACUU
rnacentral:tRNA from 1 species